AUCUCACUUCCUGCUCCUCAGUUCUCACUCCCGCACUCGCACGCUCUCUCGUCUCUGGUUUGCUUCAAUGUUCUCGCAGUCCCGCCUUCUUUCUCUGAACCCUACAUUUUCCUCUACCUCUUCUCUUUCUUCAGAUUACUCCUCCUUUCCUUCUGUUCGUCUCAAAUUUCCUUCCACAAGAGUGAUGGCCUCCGGCUCCAAGCUUACCAACGGAGGCCACUCCCUCCCCAUCGGAAUCACUGAGCCUCAAAUCAAACGAUUCACUGACGUUGGGAACAAGGUGGCCGAUGCAGCUGGCCAAGUUAUUCGCAAGUAUUUCAGAAAGAAAUUCGAUAUUUUUGACAAAGAUGAUUCCAGUCCCGUGACAAUCGCGGAUAGAUCUGCUGAGGAGGCUAUGGUUUCCAUCAUUCUAGAGCAUUUUCCUUCUCACGCAAUUUAUGGAGAGGAAAAAGGGUGGUGUAAAGAAAGUAGUGCAGACUAUGUCUGGGUUUUGGAUCCUAUUGAUGGGACAAAAAGCUUUAUCACUGGGAAACCCUUAUUUGGCACCCUCAUUGCCCUUCUACUAAAUGGUAAACCUAUUCUUGGAAUAAUUGAUCAACCUGUAUUGAGAGAAAGAUGGAUUGGGAUAUCUGGAAAGAAAACUAUGCUGAACGGACAAGAAAUCUCCUCACGUACUUGUGCAAAUCUUUCUCAUGCGUACUUGUACACCACAAGUCCACAUCUAUUCGGUGGAGAUGCAGAGAAGGCAUUUAUCCGUGUUAGAAACAAGGUUAAAGUCCCGUUAUAUGGUUGUGACUGCUAUGCAUAUGCACUUCUGGCUUCUGGCUUUGUAGAUCUUGUUGUUGAGUCCGGUCUGAAGGUCAACUAAACAGUGACAUCUCCUAUGGUUGCUUGAUUGACUUUUGAAUCUCUUUAACACUUCUGGCUAAAAAACAAAACUUCUCUUUAAUAUCAUCAAGCUUAAUCAUAGUAUGAAAGUCUAGGUCAACUCGCCCAUUUAAAUCGGUAAACCGUUAAAUCAGUGUUUUGAUCGAUUUAAUAAAAUGCAUUGUUUGUGACCAGUUUGAUCACGGUUCAACUACAGUUUUGAUCUUUAACUCUUGAACCAAUGUCUUGACUGACUAAAUGACUAAUUCCAUUUUUACUUUUUAGCACCUUAAGCAUAACUGAGGAUGAUUGAAAAAUUGAACGGGUGCUGUGUGAUUAUUUGAAUGUCACUAUUUGAAGGCUAAUGUUAAGUACUCUGAGGAAAUAAACGAGUGAAGUUUAUGGAAACAAUGUAUGGAACCAAAGUUACAAUUUCAACGGUUCGCUUUUAUGGUCCUUAUGAUGUUAGAGGCCCUACGAUUUUCUUGCUUUGAUACCGGUUAUUGAAGGCGCUGGAGGUGUCAUAACUGAUUGGAAAGGCGGUGAACUCCAUUGGGAAGCUUCUCCAACUUCAUCUGCAAG